CGCCUCGCCGUGGGCUUCCCGUCGCUGCCGCUGCGGCCGGCUGCGUGGAGACAAUGGAAAGGGAGAGCUGAGACAGGUGGACACGGGCAGGCGGGAGAGGAUGGCAGGAGGAGGCAGCGGAUCCCUGCAGCUUUACCUUCUGUCACAUGUGAGAAACGGUCUUAUCUAAUGCUUCAGUGGCACUGUCCCUGUUCUGCUUGUCAAGCGAGACUUCCAGGCAUGGUCAUCAAGGAUUCAUGGCCAACUCAUCCCCAUCCUCUGCACUCAGCAACCAUGGGUGCUUCCUUUUAUUUCCUCCAGGUAUUCCUCUCUCUCCUCUAAAAUUGCCUGUCACAGACAAGCAUAAAAUGUCCCCCAUGGUCAGUCCACUGCAGAGUACUGUGUUCAUUUGAGCUUUGAGGUUUGGGUGUUUUGUUUCUUUUUAUCUGUUACACAGUUACUCCAAUUUGAAGCCCCAUUUCUUUCUACUCAAUAAAUAUCUUUUCUGCUCUGGUU